CUGUUUCUCUGGAGGACCCUGACUGAUACACUGGCAAAGCCCAUGUGGAAAGGAACUGCCUUCAGCUGACAGCCAGCAAGAAGCCGGAACCCUCACUCCUAUACCCAAACCUCCAGAUGAGAACACAGUCUGGGCGACAUCUUGAGUACAGCUUUGUGAGACCUUGAGUAGAUCCAGCUAAACCAUGACUGAACUUCUAACCCAUAGAAACUAUGAGAUAAUAAAUGUAUGUUGUUUUAAGUCAUUAA